CAAUCCCUGAAUGACCAUUUUUUUUUUCCCCCGGGUGAGAGAGUUCUUUGUUUUGCAUAGAAUGGUGGGGAGGACCAUGAGGGGAGUUUUAACUCCAGGCUGUUUUGAGCCCUGUAACUUUCCUUCA